GGGUGCUUGAGGCUUUCUGGCUUCAGGCAAUCGAUGAGGUUCAGAAGGACGAAAGCCCCAGGAAGAUGUUUAAAAUCAACCUGAGGCUAGCUUCCGAACCCAACAAUUCGGAUGUUAGUCUCUUCUUUGCAUGGAGGCAAGACAUGCUGACGAAAUA
rnacentral:antisense_RNA from 1 species